rnacentral:lncRNA from 1 species
AUUUUCAUUAUUUAUUACAUUAAUAGAAUGUAUAUUUUCUAGACUUAUAAAAAAAACACAAAUAAUGAGAAAUAUGAUGCUAGGAUUUAUAGAAAGCUGAUGUUUAAAGUAACUCUAAUUCCUGCUUGGUCAAAUGACUCACCUAAUUAUAAAAGGUCAGCAUUUCAGACAUAUUUUAGAUUGACAAUGCAUUACUCAACAUAUGCAAGAAGAAUGGAAGCAUUUAAUAGAAUUAUUGAUGAUGACUUAAGGUGUGACUAUGGAUAUAGAUUUAUGCAAAGAAUUUACGAAAAAUUAGUUCAUAAUACUAGCCGAAUCCAAGUUAUAGAUAAUAUAGGAACCCAGAUCACCUGAUCAAUUAAAAUAAUGAUGAUAAAAGAUGCCAUACAAAGGUGCUAAACUAAAUAAAAUUAAAAAAAUAGUGA